UUCAUCAGUCCUGCAACGAUCCU
rnacentral:piRNA from 1 species